rnacentral:lncRNA from 1 species
CAUGCUUUGCAUUCUUGUUUUUAUACAAUGCAUGGGUUUUGAAUAAGUACAUUUUUUUAGUUGUUGAACCAAAUCAAUUAUUGCUUUGCCAUGCUUGAUUUAGAAAUAAUGUUGUAACAAUAUUAUAAAAAGAAAUGGUGAAAAAAAAAAAGCUUGAUUCAUGCAUGCCUAGUGAAUAUUUAGCAAAGACCCCUUUUGUUAAGGCUUUUUUUGUGUGGAUUAUUUAAGCGUUAGAUUCUGAUAAUAAUAAUCGUUUAUGAGUUAAUUUUUUUAUAGAAAUAAUUCAUGAGUUU